CCUGGCUCAGUGCUGUGGAAGAGUCUUGCUGGAGCACAGAGGCUGCAACCACCACAAGAGUUCCUACUUUUGGGACACAGGAGAGACUUUCCUGCCCACCCAGCUGCAGAAAAAUUCAGGAAAACAUCAAAGCAGUGCUUUCCCAUGAGCCCUCACAUCCUGCAGAGCCAAGGCAAUGGAAAGCAGCCAACUUUUUAAAUAAAGCAGAAGAACCAAAAUGUCUGUAGAAACUAUCACGAAAAUACUCUACUGGGCAUGAAUAAAACUCCAGUGUGGGGCCCUAAAUAAAAAUCUGUAAGCACAGAACUCCAAAUCCUCAAUUCUCACUUGUCAAUGGGGGAGAAAAAAAUAUCAGCCUAACGGUGACACAAUCUAGGCCUGUAAAUAACACCUACUCAGGUCCUGCUCCACUGGAACAAGGAACAAUACAGUCAUCUUCCAGUCUGUCCUGGGUAUGGGAAAGAGCAUAAUUGCUGAGAAAUGAAUUGCAAGUUGAAAGUCUCUAAUCUUUGCCUGCCAACCCACAUUCCUUCUUGCUCUAAGCAACUAUUGAGGAAAGGUAUUCAGGUACAGCAGCACAAUUAACUGCUUUACUUAACAUGCAAGUUUAUAAGUGAUCUCCACGAUACCACUGACAUGAAGAAAAUAACGGGGUUAAACUGGCUUUCAUUUUCAUUACAAGCUGAUCUUUGUGCAGACCUUGGUUGGUAGAACUGGCAGCAGACGUGUGUUGCAGAAUUAAAAUUAAAAGUUAUGAGAACCAUCGCUACAUAAUGGUGAGAUCAGACAAGAAUGGGAGAAUCCACACAAGUCUUUAAUCUCCAUCAAGACAAGAUAUUGUUUCUGCUUUGUUCUGUAGUUUAAAAUAAAUCCUUAAUGACUCUGUCAUCAUCUCA